rnacentral:rRNA from 1 species
CCUACGGGAGGCAGCAGUGAGGAAUAUUGGUCAAUGGGCGAGAGCCUGAACCAGCCAAGUCGCGUGAGGGAGUACUGCCCUAUGGGUUGUAAACCUCUUUUGUCGGGGAGCAAAAGCCGGACGUGUCCGGCUGUGAGAGUACCCGAAGAAAAAGCAUCGGCUAACUCCGUGCCAGCAGCCGCGGUAAUACGGAGGAUGCGAGCGUUAUCCGGAUUUAUUGGGUUUAAAGGGUGCGCAGGCGGAUUUUUAAGUCAGCGGUAAAAUCGUGGGGCUCAACCCCAUCCAGCCGUUGAAACUGGGGAUCUAGAGUGUGCGAGAGGUAUGCGGAAUGCGUGGUGUAGCGGUGAAAUGCAUAGAUAUCACGAAGAACCCCGAUGGCGAAGGCAGCAUACCGGUGCAAAACUGACGCUCAGGCACGAAAGCGUGGGUAUCGAACAGGAUUAGAUACCCUAGUAGUC